AUUGAACGCUGGCGGAAUGCUUUACACAUGCAAGUCGAACGGCAGCACGGACUUCGGUCUGGUGGCGAGUGGCGAACGGGUGAGUAAUACAUCGGAACGUGCCCAGUCGUGGGGGAUAACGUAGCGAAAGCUACGCUAAUACCGCAUACGAUCUAAGGAUGAAAGCGGGGGAUCGCAAGACCUCGCGCGAUUGGAGCGGCCGAUGGCAGAUUAGGUAGUUGGUAGGGUAAAGGCCUACCAAGCCGACGAUCUGUAGCUGGUCUGAGAGGAUGAUCAGCCACACUGGGACUGAGACACGGCCCAGCCUCCUACGGGAGGCAGCAGUGGGGAAUUUUGGACAAUGGGCGCAAGCCUGAUCCAGCCAUUCCGCGUGCAGGAUGAAGGCCUUCGGGUUGUAAACUGCUUUUGUACAGAACGAAAAGGCUCUGGUUAAUACCCGGGGCUCAUGACAGUACUGUAAGAAUAAGCACCGGCUAACUACGUGCCAGCCGCCGCAGUAA
rnacentral:rRNA from 1 species